UAACGCGUGAGGAACCUGCCUUCCAGAGGGGGACAACAGUUGGAAACGACUGCUAAUACCGCAUGAUGCAUUUGAAUCGCAUGGUUUGAAUGUCAAAGAUUUAUCGCUGGAAGAUGGCCUCGCGUCUGAUUAGCUAGUUGGUGAGGUAACGGCCCACCAAGGCGACGAUCAGUAGCCGGACUGAGAGGUUGGCCGGCCACAUUGGGACUGAGAUACGGCCCAGACUCCUACGGAAGGCAGCAG
rnacentral:rRNA from 1 species